rnacentral:rRNA from 1 species
ACCUACGGGGGGCAGCAGUAGGGAAUUUUCGUCAAUGGGCGCAAGCCUGAACGAGCAAUGCCGCGUGAACGAGGAAGGUCUUCGGAUCGUAAAGUUCUGCUGAAGGGGAAAAAGAGCGGAGAGAGGAAAUGGUCUCCGAUUGAUAUUACCCUUCGAGGAAGUCACGGCUAACUACGUGCCAGCAGCCGCGGUAAUACGUAGGUGGCGAGCGUUAUCCGGAAUGAUUGGGCGUAAAGGGUGCGUAGGCGGCCUGCUAAGUCUGGAGUGAAAGGUACCGGCUCAAACGGUACAGGCUCUGGAAACUG